rnacentral:rRNA from 1 species
AGUGAACGCUGGCGGUAGGCCUAACACAUGCAAGUCGAACGGCAGCACAGUAAGAGCUUGCUCUUACGGGUGGCGAGUGGCGGACGGGUGAGGAAUACAUCGGAAUCUACUUUUUCGUGGGGGAUAACGUAGGGAAACUUACGCUAAUACCGCAUACGACCUACGGGUGAAAGCAGGGGAUCUUCGGACCUUGCGCGAUUGAAUGAGCCGAUGUCGGAUUAGCUAGUUGGCGGGGUAAAGGCCCACUAAGGCGACGAUCCGUAGCUGGUCUGAGAGGAUGAUCAGCCACACUGGAACUGAGACACGGUCCAGACUCCUACGGGAGGCAGCAGUGGGGAAUAUUGGACAAUGGGCACAAGCCUGAUCCAGCCAUACCGCGUGGGUGAAGAAGGCCUUCGGGUUGUAAAGCCCUUUUGUUGGGAAAGAAAAGCAGCAGGUUAAUACCCCGCUGUUCUGACGGUACCCAAAGAAUAAGCACCGGCUAACUUCGUG